rnacentral:rRNA from 1 species
CAGCCGCCGCGGUAACACCGGCAGCCCAAGUGGUAGCCACGAUUAUUGGGUCUAAAGCGUCCGUAGCCGGCCAGGUAAGUUCUUUGGGAAAUUUAACCGCUCAACGGUUAAGCUUUCAGGGAAUACUGCUUGGCUUGGGACCGGGAGAGGUCAGAGGUACUUCAAGGGUAGGGGUGAAAUCCGUUAAUCCUUGAGGGACCACCAGUAGCGAAGGCGUCUGACCAGACCGGGUCCGACGGUGAGGGACGAAGGCUAGGUCGCGAACCGGAUUAGAUACCCGGGUAGUCCUAGCUGUAAACGAUGCGGGCCAGGUGUUGGCAUUACUGCGAGUGAUGUCAGUGCCGAAGGGAAGCCGUUAAGCCCGCCAUCUGGGGAGUACGGUCGCAAGGCUGAAACUUAAAGGAAUUGGCGGGGGAGCAC